CAGAGAAUAGUUUAAAAAAAAUAUUAAUUUUGGAGAUUAAUGAUGGAAGCUUUUCUUUCUCUGA
rnacentral:tRNA from 1 species